rnacentral:lncRNA from 1 species
UGAAGACCGGUGCUCCUGCUCUACGCCAUAGUCCUGGGCGCGUCGCACAGGCCCUGGGGCGGGGGGCGGGGUGUGACCCGAGGUGGACGCCCCCCUCACGUCCCUGUCCCCGUGCCCAAGGACAGCCCGCCCCGUCCGCACGGUGCCCUCAAGACCCUAGGGGCACCGGCGUGAGCGGCCUAGUGCUGGGUGCUCAGGGCCACAUCUUGCUUCCUCCCCCAGAGCUGGAGAUUCUUGGUCCUGCCCUUUGGAGCAGAACUGCUGAUUUGAUGAUGGAGGACCCCCUCCCCCCAAAAAGAGGAAAAUCUUUGAGCCAAGUGACAGUGACAUUCUGAAGUACUAACAUUUGAAAUAGUACGUCUGCCCUUUACUGAGUGAUUCAUGAAAUAAAUGACAAAAACUCCAAGUUCUAAGAAAUCUUCCAAAGAAGAGAGAACUUGAUUAUGUGCAGCUACAUUUAUAAUUUAGAACCACUUUACUGCCCAGGAAAAAAAUGGACUUUUUAUAACCCCACCC